rnacentral:rRNA from 1 species
UACGUAGGGGGCGAGCGUUGUCCGGAUUUAUUGGGCGUAAAGAGCUCGUAGGCGGUUUGUCGCGUCUGCUGUGAAAACUCGGGGCUUAACCCCGGGCCUGCAGUGGGUACGGGCAGACUAGAGUGCGGUAGGGGAGACUGGAAUUCCUGGUGUAGCGGUGAAAUGCGCAGAUAUCAGGAGGAACACCUGUGGCGAAAGCGGCUCACUGGACCACAACUGACGCUGAUGCGCGAAAGCUAGGGGAGCAAACAGG